GAUUUCCAGAAUUCCUUUGAGAUCAAGCAAGUCAGUUGGACCUUUGUCAAACUUCUUCAUGUCAACUUUGUUUGUGUUUUGUUGGGUCCUUGGCUUUGAUCGGCUGACAACUGGACUCAAUUGGCCGAGAUCGUUUGGGAGAAACGAAAAUACAUUGAAAACUUCUUGAGAAAAGAUGGAACGGAUUUUGGAGGGGCUGUAAGGGUGGUUGGAAGUUAAUCCAGACCAUUUGACUUGUGCAGUCUUGACAGGAGGCUGAAGUGAUCUACGGACAAUCUUCUUCACUUUUUCUCCCAGUUGAGGUGCUUCAAGAUCGUAAAUGUAGUCACAGAAGCUGUCGCUUGCCUCACAAAGAGAUU
rnacentral:rRNA from 1 species